GGAAUAUUGGUCAAUGGCCGGAAGGCUGAACCAGCCACGCCGCGUGAAGGAAGAAGGCCCUAUGCGUCGUAAACUUCUUUUGAUGUGGAGCAAUAAGGGCCACGUGUGGUCCGAUGAGAGUACACGUCGAAUAAGCAUCGGCUAACUCCGUGCCAGCAGCCGCGGUAAUACGGAGGAUGCGAGCGUUAUCCGGAUUUAUUGGGUUUAAAGGGUGCGUAGGCGGUCGGGUAAGCGUAGGGUGAAAGUCCUCUGCUCAACAGGGGAAGUGCCUUCCGAACUGUCCGACUUGAAUUCUCCUGCCGUGGGAGGAAUGUGUGGUGUAGCGGUGAAAUGCAUAGAGAUCACACAGAACACCGAUUGCGAAGGCAUCUCACGAAGGGGCGAUUGACGCUGAGGCACGAAAGCGUGGGGAUCAAACA
rnacentral:rRNA from 1 species